AGUGAACGCUGGCGGUAGGCCUAACACAUGCAAGUCGAACGGCAGCACAGUAAGAUCUUGCUCUUACGGGUGGCGAGUGGCGGACGGGUGAGGAAUACAUCGGAAUCUACUUUUUCGUGGGUGAUAACGUAGGGACACUGACGCUAAUACCUCAUACGACCUACGGGUUAAAUCAGUGGAUCUUCGGACCUUUCGCGAUUGAUUGAGCCGAUGUCGGAUUAGCUAGUUGGCGGGGUAAAGGCCCACCAAGGCGACGAUCCGUAGCUGGUCUGAGAGGAUGAUCAGCCACACUGGAACUGAGACACGGUCCAGACUCCUACGGGAGGCAGCAGUAGGGAAUAUUGGGCAAUGGGCGAAAGCCUGACCGAGCCAUGCCGCGUGAGUGAAGAAGGCCUUCGGGUUGUAAAGCCCUUUUGUUGGGAAAGAAAAGAAGCAGAUUUAUCCACGGCUGUUCUGACGGUACCUAAAGAAUAAGCACCGGCUAACUUCGUG
rnacentral:rRNA from 1 species